AUACGGAGGAUCCGAGCGUUAUCCGGAUUUAUUGGGUUUAAAGGGUGCGCAGGCGGCCAUUUAAGUCAGCGGUUAAAUCGUGGGGCUCAACCCCAUUCUGCCGUUGAUACUGGGUGGCUUGAUUGCGGUCGAGGUUGGCGGAAUUCGGUGUGUAGCGGGGAAAUGCAUAGAUAUGACGAAGAACACCGAUUGCGUAGGCAGCUGACCAGACCGCAAAUGACGCUCAUGCACGAAAGUGCGGGGAUCGAACAGGAUUAGAUACCCUGGUAGUCCGCACAGUAAACGAUGAAUACUUGUUUUCGGCGAUAUAAUGUCGGAGGCAAAGCGAAAGCGAUAAGUAUUCCACCUGGGGAGUACGCCGGCAACGGUGAAACUUAAAGGAAUUGACGGGG
rnacentral:rRNA from 1 species